UCUAAUGUGGCAGAUUAGUGCAUUGGAUUUAAACCCCAAAUAUAAAGGUUUAAUCCUUUUUUUAGAA
rnacentral:tRNA from 1 species